rnacentral:rRNA from 1 species
UACGGAGGGGGCAAGCGUUAUUCUGAAUUAUUGGUCGUAAAGGGCGCGUAGGCGGCUAGAUGUGUCAAAGGUGAAAUCCCUCGGCUCAACUGAGGAACUGCCUUUGAAACUGUCUGGCUUGAGGCCGGGAGAGGGUAGCGGAAUUCCCAGUGUAGCGGUGAAAUGCGUAGAUAUUGGGAGGAACACCAGUGGCGAAGGCGGCUACCUGGACCGGUUCUGACGCUGAGGCGCGAAAGCGUGGGUAGCAAACAGG